GAUGAACGCUGGCGGCGUGCUUAACACAUGCAAGUCGAACGAUGAAGCCCAGCUUGCUGGGUGGAUUAGUGGCGAACGGGUGAGUAACACGUGAGUAACCUGCCCUUAACUCUGGGAUAAGCCUGGGAAACUGGGUCUAAUACCGGAUAGGAGCGCCUACCGCACGGUGGGUGUUGGAAAGAUUUAUCGGUUUUGGAUGGACUCGCGGCCUAUCAGCUUGUUGGUGAGGUAAUGGCUCACCAAGGCGACGACGGGUAGCCGGCCUGGGAGGGUGACCGGCCACCCUGGGACUGAGACACGGCCCAGACUCCUACGGGAGGCAGCAGUGGGGAAUAUUGCACAAUGGGCGAAAGCCUGAUGCAGCGACGCCGCGUGAGGGAUGACGGCCUUCGGGUUGUAAACCUCUUUCAGUAGGGAAGAAGCGAAAGUGACGGUACCUGCAGAAGAAGCACCGGCUAACUACGUG
rnacentral:rRNA from 1 species